AUGUUGGCUUAGAAGCAGCCAUUCAUUUAAAGAGUGCGUAACAGCUCACUCGUCAAGAGAUCUUGCGCGGAAAAUGUAACGGGGCUAAAGUAUAUUACCGAAGAUAUGGAUGCACAAUUUAUUGUGCGUGGUAGAGGAGCGUUCCUCUCAGCAACGAAGUAGAGUCGCGAGGCUCUGUGGAGCGUGAGGAAGUGAGAAUGUUGGAAUAAGUAACUUUAAGACAGGUGAGAAUCCUGUCCACCGAAAGAGCAAGGUUUCCUGGGCCAUGAUAAUCAUCCCAGGGUUAGUCGGGCCUAAGCCGAGGCGAGUAGCGUAGGCGAUGGACAACGGGUUAAUAUUCCCGUACCGGCUAUAUAUUGUUUAUAGUGCGCGGUAUAUUAGCAGAAGCGGAUUCAUGGUUAUAUCCGUCUAACUACUAGAAAUAGGUAGGAAUGAAACGGUCUUUAUUGACUGAAUUUCUGUAAAAGUACUGACUAGAAAAGCUUAUAAACUUAUGUAUAUAGUCGCCCGUACCGCAAACCGACACAGGUGCUCAGGUCGAGUAGACCAAGGUGUACGAGUGAUUCUUCGUCAAGGAACUCGGCAAACAAGCGACCGUAACUUCGGGAUAAGGUCUGCCCCGUCACAAUGUCUAUGAAUAGUGACUAGCCAGUUUUCUUUAGAAAACGAGUAAAAAAGUCUUACAAUUUAUUACUUUUAUUGUAAGCAACGAGCAAAGUAUCAAAGAAAGCUGACCCCAAGUAAUCACAUAUCGUGGUAGAUAUUGUGACGGGGCCGCAGCUAAGGAACCCAUGCAACUGUUUACCAAAAACACAGGUCUCUGCUAACACGAAAGUGGAUGUAUAGGGGCUGACUCCUGCCCGGUGCUGGAAGGUUAAGGCGAGUGCUUCACGGUGCGAACUGAAGCCCCAGUGAACGGCGGCGGUAACUAUAACCGUCCUAAGGUGAAAUCGUUGCCUUAGUAAAAUCUGGCCAUAUGCUGGAACAUCUGAGUAUCGAACUGUACUAUGGUAUAAUUAUUCCUUAUAUGGAAGAUUAUAUUUCAAGUGAAAAUCAGUUUCGUGCAGACAAUCAGCAGGAAAGACUCUUGAGCAAUCAAGAGAAUCCUCAGAGACUACACGCCAGACCCCUUAUAAAAAAAAGGGUGAAGAUAUAGUCCGACCUUUAUGGCGACAUAAAGAUCCAUACGAGAAAUCGGUGGACGCCAUUUAAUAUUUAAAUGGUUAUUAAAGUAACAGAGCGAGCGAAAUUCCUUGUCAGGUAAGUUCUGACCCGCACGAAUGGAGUAAUGAUAUGGGUACUGUCUCGACGAAGAGCUCGGUGAAAGUGCAUUGGCGGUAAAGAUGCCGUCUGUCCGCAUCAGGACGAAAAGACCCUGUGCAGCUUUACUACAGCUUGACAUUGAAUCGAGUUACAACAUGUGUAGGAUAGGUGGGAGACUUUGAAGCUUAGACGCUAGUCUAGGUGGAGUCAUCCGUGAAAUACCACCCUUGUUGUGAUUUUAUUCUUACUCAAACCGUUAUCCGGUUUGAGGACCGUGUCUGGUGGGUAGUUUAACUGGGGCGGUUGCCUCCUAAAGAGUAGCGGAGGCGUUCAAAGGUUGGCUAACUACGGAUGGAAAUCGUAGUGGUAGUGCAUGCGCAUAAGCCAGCUUGACUGUGAGGAAUACAAUCCAAGCAGGUACGAAAGUAGGAGCAAGUGACCCGCUGUCCUUACAUUUUUAUGUAAAUGAACGUGGGAUCGGCAGCGCAAACGGAUAAAAGUUACGCCAGGGAUAACAGGCUUAUAGCGCCCAAUAGUUCACAUAGACGGCGCUGUUUGGCACCUCGAUGUCGGCUCAUCUCAUCCUGGAGGGGAAGCACCUUCCAAGGGUCGGGCUGUUCGCCCGUUAAAGAGGUACGUGAGCUGGGUUCAGAACGUAAAUUACAUUGCGUUCUACCACUGAGAAGUGGUAAAAUACUAGUGUACAUCGCAUUAAUAGUAUUAAAUCUGACUGAAAUCGGUGAAACCCGACUAGAACAUUAUCGAACGGUUCUAAGGGCAAUACCGAGGGAAGAAGAGAAAAAUGUCUGACGAAGUCGCAGCAUAUAUUGCUGGUUUUCUAGAUGGUGACGGCUCUAUCAUGGCACAACUUGUUCGUCGUAAAGAUUACAAGUUGGGCUAUCAGAUAAGAGUUAGUAUUGUUUUUUAUCAAAAGCAAAGUCACAAUGAAAUCCUCUUUUGGCUAAAAGAGCAACUGAAAUUUGGCUAUAUUCGUAACCGAAAUGACGGUAUGACCGAAUAUACCAUUGUAGGUUUAAGUGAAGUAGAACAGACAUUACAACUACUUCAUGACAAACUUCGUCUAAAGAAAUCUCUCGCUCAAGAUGUAUUACAACUGAUCAAGGUGCAUCCUAAAAAGAUGACACCAGAGAAGUUGUUAAAACUUGCGAAAUUGGUCGAUAAAACUGCAGAGUUUAAUUAUUCCAAAAAACGCACCAAUACAUCAGAAGUAGUGAUUGAAUUCUUGAAAAGCAAAAAUCUCUUCCCUGUAGAGACUUCAAUCCGCCAGCCGGCGGAUUGGGAUAGCUGAUCCUAUCUCGAUUUAUCGGGAUAAAUAUAUGACAGCUAUAAAACGUCAGCUCCUAACCCGAGUCUGUUUCGGGAAGGAAGAAGAUAUAGUCCGUGCCAUCAGUAAUGGUGGAAAAAGUUUUGAGAUUUGAACACCUCAGAACUUCACGCGUGAGACAGUUCGGUUUAUAUCCGAUGUGGACGCAAGGAAACUUGAGAGAAGCUGUUCGUAGUACGAGAGGACCCGAAUGGACGCACCGCUGGUGUACCAAUUGUCAUACCAAUGGCAUUGUUGGGUAGCUAUGUGCGGAAUAGAUAAGCGCUGAAAGCAUAUUAAGCGCGAAGCUAGUCUCGAGAUUAGGUUUCCCUAUGAGGGCCCUGAUAGACUAUCAGGUUGAUAGGUGCAAGGUGUACGCACAGUAAUGUGUUCAGCCAAAGCAUACUAAUAGCCCCAUUGACUUCUUAUU
rnacentral:ncRNA from 1 species